rnacentral:lncRNA from 1 species
CUCCUCACUGCUUAAACAUUAAUUGUGAAGUUGUAUAUAUCAUCUACAUUAUUGUAUUUAGAAUUGAUCUUAAUAUAACCAUUACUAACUUCUCAUCUAGGAUAAUCAGUUUAGUCUAAAAUUUUACUCUGCCCCAGUUUUUUCCCCUACUCAAGUUCAUGUUUUCUGGUUACUGUGACUGUUACUCUAAUGUUCAAUGUUCCUGACUUGAUUCAUCAAACACUAUUAAUACUGAUUGCCCAUUUAAAAAAAUUGUACAUCAGGUAAGGGCCUUAACAUGUGGUCUUUCCUUUCCUUUUCAUCCAAGUUAUGUUAUCUGCUUUCCAGGUCACUGGAUCCUUUGUUCAGUACCAGUCUUGAUCAGUGUUGAUCACUAUCUUUUCAAGUAUUUGUAACUACUUUUAACAUUUCUCCUAUGAUAGCUAGUGGUACCUGCCUAAUUGCAAAUAAAACUUCUCUUAAGACAUAUUCAUUCACUUAUUGAGAAACAUGUGAUUGGCCUGUCCUUAACAGCUAGUAUGUUCCCCACCCAUAAACCAAUGAAGCAUCAGGAUCUAGAUUAUCAAAUCUCUUCAGUACCCUCAAACUUGCUGUGAAGUACUUCUUUCCAACUAUUGGCUAUUUAUUCUUCACAACAGGGUACUUCUGGUCCCCGUCUCCCUUUGGAUUAUUUAGCCAAAUUGUCGUUCCUCCUGUUUUCAUGCCUCUUAAACCUGCAAUUUCUUGUGUAUCCUCUUUGCAAAAUAUUAUUUCCCUUUUAAAUGAAAUUAUGUGCUUCCUAGACCCAUCACUUUUUACCUAUCCUGUGCUUCCUUCCAUACCUGGUUACAUAGAUGAUCCAUUACUUAAAACCUUAUAUAGAAUCCAGGCUCUCCCAGAAGCAUCAUGACAGGCUAUACUGUUAAUUUUCAUGACUAGCUCUAAGAGAUUAAAUUACUAUUUCAGCUGACCUUUUAAGGCAGAGGUUUCUAGCCAGAAAAUACCACCCAGUACUUUAGUGUCUUAAAAACUUUUCUUUUUUUUUUUAAUAUUUAUUUUUUAGUUUUAGGUGGACACAAUAUCUUUAUUUUUUUAUUUUUAUGUGGUGUUAAGGAUCGAAUCCAGCGCCCCACACAUGCCAGGCAAGCAUGCUACCGCUUGAGCUACAUCCCCAGCCUUAAAAACUUUUCUUGCAAGAGAAAAGAAUCUUUCUAGAU